rnacentral:rRNA from 1 species
UACAGAGGUCUCAAGCGUUGUUCGGAUUCAUUGGGCGUAAAGGGUGCGUAGGCGGUAGGGUAAGUCUGGUGUGAAAUCCUGGAGCUUAACUUCAGAAAUGCACUGGAUACUGCCCUGCUAGAGGACUGGAGAGGAGAUUGGAAUUCACGGUGUAGCAGUGAAAUGCGUAGAUAUCGUGAGGAAGACCAGUGGCGUAAGCGAAUCUCUGGACAGUUCCUGACGCUGAGGCACGAAGGCCAGGGGAGCAAACGGG